CCCGGGACGUGGGGCUCCCGGGCUCCUGAGCUGCUCGGGUUCCGCGCUGCCGGGAGUGCUUGGGGGCGCCUUAGCGCGGGACUCCGUUCUUUUCAGGAAAGGGUGUUGCGACCAUCUUUGUCCCCGGGCCUUCAGCUGCAGACCUUCGGGGCCCUCGCUGAUUCUAGUGCUAUAGAAACCCCAUGUGUGUGUAAGCAUACGGUACCGGCCCUUUCAUGACUGGCUGAUUUCAUGGAACCUGAUGCCAUUGAGGUCCAUCUACGCUGCGGCAGGUGUCAGACGCCCCUUCCUCUGUUUAGCUGAACAGUUUCCGGAUGUAUGGAUGGAGCGCUUCGUGCCCAUUCACUCACCUGUUGGUGGACACGUGGGCAGCUCUGAUCUCUCAGCUCCUGAACAGCUGGAAGGCAAGAUUCAACUAGGACUGUCCACAGAGCUCCUCCCUGUGGCCUUUCAGGAUGGUGGUCUCAGGGUAGCUGGACGUCUUGCAUGACAGCUCAGAGCUCCCAGAGACACUGUCCCAAGAGACAGUAGGUGGAAGCUGCCAGUCUCUCAGGCUAGGACCAGAAACCAGCACUGCUGCACCCACAAAGUUUUGGUGGUGAUGAAAUAAACAUAACAUUUAUCAUUUUAAUCCUUCAUAAGUGGCAUUAAAUACAUUUAUAAUGUUUAUAACCAUUGCCAGUGUCGAUACCUAAAACUUUUUCAU